rnacentral:rRNA from 1 species
AGAACGAACGCUGGCGGCAGGCUUAACACAUGCAAGUCGAACGCGUGUAGCAAUACACGAGUGGCGCACGGGUGAGUAACGCGUGGAUAUCUGCCUUUUGGUUCGGAAUAACCCCGGGAAACUGGGGCUAAUACCGGAUGGUUCCUACGGGAUAAAGAUUUAUCGCCAAAAGAUGAGUCCGCGUACGAUUAGCUAGUUGGUGAGGUAAUGGCUCACCAAGGCGACGAUCGUUAGCUGGUCUGAGAGGACGAUCAGCCACACUGGGACUGAGACACGGCCCAGACUCCUACGGGAGGCAGCAGUGGGAAUAUUGGACAAUGGGCGCAAGCCUGAUCCAGCCAUGCCGCGUGAGUGAUGAAGGCCCUAGGGUUGUAAAGCUCUUUUGUGCGGGAAGAUAAUGACGGUACCGCAAGAAUAAGCCCCGGCUAACUUCGCGCCAGCAGCCGC